GUAGCAGCAGGGAGGAUGAGGAAGAGAGAUGUAGAAGGUGAGGCUGGGUGCUGUGGUGUUGAUGGUUGUGGUGGGUAGGGGUGUAGCAGCAGGGAGGAUGAGGAAGAGAGAUGUAGAAGGUGAGGCUGGGUGCUGUGGUGUUGAUGGUUGUGGUGGGUAGGGGUGUAGCUGCAGGGAGGAUGAGGAAGAGAGAUGUAGAAGGUGAGGCUGGGUGCUGUGGUGUUGAUGGUUGUGGUGGGUAGGGGUGUAGCUGCAGGGAGGAUGAGGAAGAGAGAUGUAGAAGGUGAGGCUGGGUGCUGUGGUGUUGAUGGUUGUGGUGGGUAGGGGUGUAGCAGCAGGGAGGAUGAGGAAGAGAGAUGUAGAAGGUGAGGCUGGGUGCUGUGGUGUUGAUGGUUGUGGUGGGUAGGGG